GCCAGCCAACUCUAGCUGGCAAGCAAUUGGUGCUUCUUCUGCCCAAGCCCCGCCUCCUCCCUGAGGGUUCCGUCCAAUGAAACCGCCGCCACGGGUUAGCUCCUCCCACCCCUUCCACUCCUUCCUCUUUUGCGGAGCGGGAGUCUCGUCUCAGUGGUCAGGAGUUUGUUUACCAUUCUGAUAUACCACGAAGACUGGGUUGAAAGAAGUGAAACAAAGAAUGAAGUUGUAAAACGCAUAAUAUUCCCAGCUGAAUGUUAAAAUCUUCAAUGGAAGAAUAAUGUCAACUACUGAAUUUCCAGUAGUUGGGAUGUUCCAAAAAAGAGUAGCCUUUGCUGUGCUAAUGUGGCUAUUUCAUAUAUACACUAAAAUGAUUAUGAAAGCCACAAAUUUGUCUGGGUUAUCUGGAGGGCUCUUUUUUAUUACAUUGCUAGGGUGUAAAUAAAAACUGUUUGAACUCAGAA